rnacentral:rRNA from 1 species
GGAGUUAGCCGGUGCUUCUUCUGUGAGUGAUGUCCUUCCUGCCGGCUAUUAACCCGCAGGCCUUCUUCCUCACUGAAAGUGCUUUACAACCCGAAGGCCUUCUUCACACACGCGGCAUGGCUGGAUCAGGGUUGCCCCCAUUGUCCAAUAUUCCCCACUGCUGCCUCCCGUAGGAGUCUGGGCCGUGUCUCAGUCCCAGUGUGGCUGAUCAUCCUCUCAGACCAGCUACGGAUCGUCGCCUUGGUGAGCCGUUACCUCACCAACCAGCUAAUCCGACAUAGGCUCAUCCGAUAGCGCGAGGCCCGAAGGUCCCCCGCUUUCCCCCGUAGGGCGUAUGCGGUAUUAGCCUGGGUUUCCCCAGGUUAUCCCCCACUACCGGGCAGAUUCCUAUGCAUUACUCACCCGUCCGCCGCUCGCCACCAGGGAGCAAGCUCCCCGUGCUGCCGCUCGACUUGCAUGUGUAGCUCGCCGCCACGCGUCAUCUGAGCAGAUACAACUACUGA